UACGUAGGUGGCAAGCGUUGUCCGGAUUUACUGGGUGUAAAGGGCGUGCAGCCGGGCUGACAAGUCAGAUGUGAAAUCCCGCGGCUCAACCGCGGAACUGCAUUUGAAACUGUCAGUCUUGAGUACCGGAGAGGUCAUCGGAAUUCCUAGUGUAGCGGUGAAAUGCGUAGAUAUUAGGAGGAACACCAGUGGCGAAGGCGGCCUGCUGGACGACAACUGACGGUGAGGCGCGAAAGCGUGGGGAGCAAACAGG
rnacentral:rRNA from 1 species